AAAGGUCUUUCUGAAGAUGAGAAGAACAC
rnacentral:piRNA from 1 species